UAUCUAACUAAAAUUACUAAACUAAUAUGAGGUGGCCAACUUUCAUAUAUAUGAUUUAAAUGGAAAAUCAAAGUAUAAAAGGAAAUUGAUUUGCUAGAAAGAAGGAAAAAAA
rnacentral:sRNA from 1 species